rnacentral:tRNA from 1 species
GGCUUCAUAGCUCAGUUGGUAGUAGAGCAGUGCACUAGUAACGCGGAGGUCAUGGGUUCAAAUCCCGUUGAAGCCA